GAUGAACGCUGGCGGCGUGCCUAAUACAUGCAAGUCGAGCGAACGGACGAGAAGCUUGCUUCUCUGAUGUUAGCGGCGGACGGGUGAGUAACACGUGGAUAACCUACCUAUAAGACUGGGAUAACUUCGGGAAACCGUAGCUAAUACCGGAGAAUAUUUUGAACCGCAUGGUUCAAAAGUGAAAGACGGUCUUGCUGUCACUUAUAGAUGGAUCCGCGCUGCAUUAGCUAGUUGGUAAGGUAACGGCUUACCAAGGCAACGAUGCAUAGCCGACCUCAGAGGGUGAUCGGCCACCCUGGAACUGAGCCACGGUCCAUACUCCUACGGGAGGCCGCAGUUGGGUAUCUUCCGCAAUGGUCGAAAGCCUGACGGAGCGACGCCGCGUGAGUGAUGACGGUCUUCGGAUCGUAAAACUCUGUUAUUAGUGAAGAACAUAUGUGUAAGUAACUGUGCACAUCUUGACGGUACCUAAUCAGAAAGCCACGGCUAACUACGUG
rnacentral:rRNA from 1 species